rnacentral:rRNA from 1 species
ACCAGACUCCUACGGGAGGCAGCAGUGAGGAAUAUUGGUCAAUGGGCUUACGCCUGAACCAGCCAAGUCGCGUGAGGGAAGACUGCCCUAUGGGUUGUAAACCUCUUUUGUCAGGGAGCAACGCCGGCUACGUGUAGCCGGACUGAGAGUACCUGAAGAAAAAGCAUCGGCUAACUCCGUGCCAGCAGCCGCGGUAAUACGGAGGAUGCGAGCGUUAUCCGGAUUUAUUGGGUUUAAAGGGAGCGUAGGCCGGUCUUUAAGCGUGCCGUGAAAUUUUGUGGCUCAACCAUGAGAGUGCGGCGCGAACUGGAGACCUUGAGUGCGCGGAAGGCAGGCGGAAUUCGUGGUGUAGCGGUGAAAUGCUUAGAUAUCACGAAGAACCCCGAUUGCGAAGGCAGCUUACUAAACUGCCACUGACAUUGAUGCUCGAAAGUGUGGGUAUCAAACAGGAUUAGAUACCCGCGUAC